GAUGAACGCUGGCGGCGUGCCUAAUACAUGCAAGUCGAACGAAUCACUUCGGUGGUUAGUGGCGAACGGGUGAGUAACACGUAGGUAACCUGCCCUUCAGACGAGGAUAACGGUUGGAAACGACCGCUAAUACUGGAUAGUACAUCUUGUCGCAUGACGGGGUGUUUAAAGUUCCGUUUGGAACACUGGAGGAGGGGCCUGCGGCGCAUUAUUUAGUUGGCGGGGUAACAGCCCACCAAGAAAAUGAUGCGUAUCCGGACUGAGAGGUUGAACGGCCACAUUGGGACUGAGACACGGCCCAGACUCCUACGGGAGGCAGCAGUAGGGAAUUUUCGGCAAUGGGGGAAACCCUGACCGAGCAACGCCGCGUGAAUGAUGAAGUAUUUCGGUAUGUAAAAUUCUUUUAUAGAGGACGAAUGUUAUAUGGAGGAAAUGCCAUAUAAGUGACGGUACUUUAUGAAUAAGCCCCGGCUAACUAUGUGCCAGCAGCCGCAGUAAUAC
rnacentral:rRNA from 1 species